rnacentral:lncRNA from 1 species
CUUGCUCUGACCUAGCAUACUUGUAUACAAAUUGAAAUGCAAAUAUCUAGGUCUGAGCGAGGCUAGACCUAGUCAUGCUAAUCGAAUGAUAGCCUCGGCCAAUGAAAAUCUCUUCACUCCAUGUUUUCAUGAUGCUGUCAGCCAGGCUCCUGUCUUAAGGGCUGGCACUCAACACGUAGUUUCAUGUCCCAUGAUCAAGCUGUAGGACUACAAUAUGACUAGACCUAAGAUGCUAGGCGAUAUUGAAGAUAUCUAUAUUAUUGGAUUCUAAAUUCUGAAAUGCUUGGAAAUUUACAAGUAUGCAUCGGCAACCAAUGCUGAAGACUAGACUUCAGAGGUGAAACAGUUAAGAAGCAAAAUGAAAUCAGUUCUUCCUGAUGGAUGGGCGGGUAUUGCUGCAAUACUGCACAUUGUGCAAGGAUGUCGACAUCAGUGUUCUUCAAUUGUAGAUCAGAGGUGAAAUUGAAAAGAGAAUAACGUAGAUGCCUAAUACAUUCUUUGAUUGGCCGUACCAUCUGUUGUGGACUAUAAUUUCACCUACUCAAGACUCAUCAGCACAUCUUGGAUCCGCAAACCAAAGAAAUACCAUUAGGCCUGUUAUAAUGUUGAAGUGUAUAAAUUGUAUAUAAUAUAUAUAACUUGUUAACUAAUUAUUAGUAUUAUUGCAUCAUUAUUGUUUGACGUUGUAACGGUCGAAAAUAACAUGCCGCUAUAACUAGGUGGCACUGGUUAGUUACUUUACAUAAAUCCAGCUGGCCGAUUAUGAUCAUAUUUAGUAGUUUGACAAACAUGGCAUGACAACACAAAACUGUUAAUGUCCUUUCUCAUACCAGGCCAAUAAACAUGUCUGGAUAUUUUGUCUAUUGUUUUUCGGACACCUAGAUGACCAGCCGUAGGAUGAUCAUAGAAUUUGAUUAACAUCGAAAAGUCUCAAUGUUUUGGGAAUACCUGGUCUGAAUUCACCGUUGCUAUCAACCCCUUUUUGUGUAAUAAAGAACAUUAUCAUUCAA